GAUGAAGAACGCAGCGAAAUGCGAUAAGUAGUGUGAAUUGCAGAAUUCAGUGAAUCAUCGAAUCUUUGAACGCACAUUGCGCCCCUUGGUAUUCCAUGGGGCAUGCCUGUUCGAGCGUCAUUUGUACCUUCAAGCUCUGCUUGGUGUUGGGUGUUUGUCUCGCCUCUGCGUGUAGACUCGCCUCAAAACAAUUGGCAGCCGGCGUAUUGAUUUCGGAGCGCAGUACAUCUCGCGCUUUGCACUCAUAACGACGACGUCCAAAAGUACAUUUUUACAAUCUUGACCUCGGAUCAGGUAGGGAUACCCGCUGAACUUAAGCAUAUCAAUAAGCGGAGGA
rnacentral:misc_RNA from 1 species